GAAAUUUACUCAAGCGCGACCUCUGUCUUUUUUUUUUUUUUAAUGACCUCUUUCUUUACACGUUGUUGUUUGUUAAUGAAGUGCAGCCUUAACUGUACAGACCAUUAGGUAUUUUAAGGUUUAAGCUGAAUAUUGUAUACAAGCAACUGACAUUUGUUUUGUCCCAGUGAUUACACAUUUAUUUAAUGAUUUUGAAAAUGUCAGCGUAGCAGGAAGGAAUGCAGAGGUCAUUUAAAGCUUAUUUGUGUUCAAAUUAUUUGAUAGAACCCCAGCCAUAUUUGACCCUCAGCACGCUGUAACUAGGGCCAUGAUCUCAUUUUGAUACUGUAGAUAAUUUGAAAGGCCCAGCCAGGAAUGUCGGAAUUUCAACCUAAUUAGUUGCAUCUUAUUUUGUGAUUUGUCCUGGGCGCCCUUGCUUGCAGGCUGAACUUUUUUUUUUUUUUUAACCUUUCUCAUCCUGUCACAUUUUAAAUGUCAUCAGACCAGUGUUUAUAUAAUUGGUUUUUCCUUUCGCUACCUUCCUCCACACGAGAACAUUUCUUCUGGGGCUCUGCUCCUUCGCCCUGGACAGUCACAAAAUCUCCUCUCAGAAACGUCCCUGGACUGUGUCCUCUGUAUCUUCUCUACCAGCAGCAAUGCUCCUGCCAGGUGUAAGAGAGAGCAAGGGGCAGACUCUAGACUCAGAACAGAAAAGUCGGUGCUGACAAGUGGGUAGCCUUGAACAGCAGGUGGAGAGCUUUGCGCGUGCUUGAGAGGCGUGGUCCAGAGCAGAGCAAAGGACCUGAGGAGAGGUGAAUACUGCUUCAUCCACGAGUUCCCAGAGUAACGGUUUUGGAAGCAAAGAAGUCAGAAUCCGAGCAGUGCUGUCUGUUGCCUCGUCGGUGUGAAGAACUGUGUCACGUACCCAUUGCUGUACACCAAACUGCCCUAAGCCUUAGUGGCGUCACACAAUGAAUUGUUACUUCUAGUCGAUUCUGUGGCUGGAUUGGGUCAUUCCUUCCUGUCUCACAUGGGUUGCUGUAAGUGACCUCCUUAUGUGUUUGGAGCGUCCACAGGGAUUCAUUCAUUCAUUCAUUUACACCUGCAUGCAUUCAUUCAUGCAUACAUUUGAAUCCUCUGCAAAGCCUGCAGUAGCAGCUGCGGGGAGCGUGUGAACAGCCAGAUUGGUUAGACAGCUUUUCUCAACUUAAGGUGCUACCAUGGACAGCUCUCCUUUUCUUCUGCGCUCUGCUGAAUAGGACCAACUUCUCUGGUUUCUUCCUUCCUUCCUUCUUUCCUCCCUUCCUUCCUUCAGCUACAUAUUUUUCUUCUUCUAAGGAAAACCUCUUUUUGUCCUUCCCACAUGAACCCGUGUUAAGGAGUUGUGUCUAAUAGAAUGCAAAA